GAGCAAGUAGGAUUUCAUGACCCUCUUUUUCCAUGCAACGAGGUUGUCUUCAUAGCAUGUAGGUGUGCCACUGUGAGAUCCCAUGAAGAAAAAAGCAAAAAGAGAAAACUUACUUUCUUACAAAAUCUUAGAUCUUGAAAUCCCUAGGUGUUGUUAUAUAUGAUGCAAGUUGCGAAGAUGGUUAGUUACAUCUUAUCUUGAUUAAUCAAAAUUAUUUUGAUUUAAAAUCAU
rnacentral:lncRNA from 1 species